GUUUCAACCUCCACCACCCCUGGAUUAGACCAACUUCUAAAGGCUAAGCACUUCCAUUUGAAUAAGAACCAGCUUUCAGGUGCCCCCAAACUUUUCAGCUCUGACAUGGUGCUCAUACAUGUAUUAUUUGAUG